ACGAGUGGCGGACGGGUGAGUAACACGUGGGUAACCUGCCCUUAAGUGGGGGAUAACAUUUGGAAACAGAUGCUAAUACCGCAUAGAUCCAAGAACCGCAUGGUUCUUGGCUGAAAGAUGGCGUAAGCUAUCGCUUUUGGAUGGACCCGCGGCGUAUUAGCUAGUUGGUGAGGUAAUGGCUCACCAAGGCGAUGAUACGUAGCCGAACUGAGAGGUUGAUCGGCCACAUUGGGACUGAGACACGGCCCAAACUCCUACGGGAGGCAGCAGUAGGGAAUCUUCCACAAUGGACGCAAGUCUGAUGGAGCAACGCCGCGUGAGUGAAGAAGGCUUUCGGGUCGUAAAACUCUGUUGUUGGAGAAGAAUGGUCGGCAGAGUAACUGUUGUCGGCGUGACCGGUAUCCCAACCCAGAAAGGCCACGGGCUAAACUACGUGCCAGCAGCCGCGGUAAUACGUAGGUGGCAAGCGUUAUCCGGGAUUUAUUGGGCGUAAAGCGAGCGCAGGCGGUUUUUUAAGUCUGAUGUGAAAGCCCUCGGCUUAACCGAGGAAGCGCAUCGGAAACUGGGAAACUUGAGUGCAGAAGAGGACAGUGGAACUCCAUGUGUAGCGGUGAAAUGCGUAGAUAUAUGGAAGAACACCAGUGGCGAAGGCGGCUGUCUGGUCUGUAACUGACGCUGAGGCUCGAAAGCAUGGGUAGCGAACAGGAUUAGAUACCCUGGUAGUCCAUGCCGUAAACGAUGAAUGCUAGGUGUUGGAGGGUUUCCGCCCUUCAGUGCCGCAGCUAACGCAUUAAGCAUUCCGCCUGGGGAGUACGACCGCAAGGUUGAAACUCAAAGGAAUUGACGGGGGCCCGCACAAGCGGUGGAGCAUGUGGUUUAAUUCGAAGCAACGCGAAGAACCUUACCAGGUCUUGACAUCUUUUGAUCACCUGAGAGAUCAGGUUUCCCCUUUGGGGGCCAAAUGACAGGUGGUGCAUGGGUUGUCAGUCAGCUCGUGUCGUGAAGAUGUUGGGUUAAGUCCCGCAACGAUCGCAACCCUUAUGACUAGUUGCCAGCAUUUAGUUGGGCACUCUAGUAAGACUGCCGGUGACAAACCGGAGGAAGGUGGGGAUGACGUCAAAUCAUCAUGCCCCUUAUGACCUGGGCUACACACGUGCUACAAUGGAUGGUACAACGAGUUGCGAGACCGCGAGGUCAAGCUAAUCUCUUAAAGCCAUUCUCAGUUCGGACUGUAGGCUGCAACUCGCCUACACGAAGUCGGAAUCGCUAGUAAUCGCGGAUCAGCACGCCGCGGUGAAUACGUUCCCGGGCCUUGUACACACCGCCCGUCACACCAUGAGAGUUUGUAACACCCGAAGCCGGUGGCGUAACCCUUUUAGGGAGCGAGCCGUCUAAGGUGGGACAAAUGAUUAGGGUGAAGUCGUAACAAG
rnacentral:rRNA from 1 species